rnacentral:tRNA from 1 species
AGAUGAUGAUCCCAAGCCUUCUGGCGAUCUAGACAAAACAAGUCCACCGUGGGCUUUGAAAAACGCUUUCCUUGAUAAAAUUUAAGCGUUUUAUAAGAGGAUGCCGGGGAAGGUUUUCCGGUUUAUCCCGGAGGGCUUGUAGCUCAGUUGGUUAGAGCGCGCGCUUGAUAAGCGUGAGGUCGGAGGUUCAAGUCCUCCCAGGCCCACCAGUUUAUCCAUUACUUUCAUAAGUGCUUUUAAAAAAUAAGUACUUCUAAAAAGAUUGCUUCUAAAAAGCUUAUCAAAAUUGGCAGGCUUAUUGCUUUUGUGUGAGUAAUCCAAAGUUAAAGCAAAUUAAUGGCAAAAAAACAGUUCAAAUGCUAAAUACUAAGGAGUCAAAAUUCCUUGCAAAGUGAUUUUUACAGCGUCCAUUUGGUUGAUAUAAAUUCCAAAUGCUCAUAGACGUCAAUGCCUAUAUGAAACUAUCGGUUCAAUCAUAUCGCUUUGAGUUAUAUAGAUUUUGUAAUCCCUCUUUUGAUCGUUUUAAACGCUUUAUUCUGAUUUAGGGGCCGUAGCUCAGCUGGGAGAGCACCUGCUUUGCAAGCAGGGGGUCGUCGGUUCGAUCCCGUCCGGCUCCACCAUAAGGUCAUCAUCAUUGUGUUAAGAACA